rnacentral:rRNA from 1 species
AGAGUUUGAUCAUGGCUCAGAUUGAACGCUGGCGGCAGGCCUAACACAUGCAAGUCGAGCGGAAGAAGACUUCGGUCUUCGAGAGCGGCGGACGGGUGAGUAACGCGUGGGAAUCUGGCUCUUAGAGGGGGACAACUUGUGGAAACGCAAGCUAAUACCGCAUACGUCCUACGGGAGAAAGCAGGGGAUCUUCGGACCUUGCGCUAAGAGAUGAGCCCGCGUCGGAUUAGCUAGUUGGUGGGGUAAAGGCCUACCAAGGCGACGAUCCGUAACUGGUCUGAGAGGAUGAUCAGUCACACUGGAACUGAGACACGGUCCAGACUCCUACGGGAGGCAGCAGUGGGGAAUAUUGCACAAUGGACGAAAGUCUGAUGCAGCAACGCCGCGUGGAGGAUGACACAUUUCGGUGCGUAAACUCCUUUUAUAUGAGAAGAUAAUGACGGUAUUAUAUGAAUAAGCACCGGCUAACUCCGUGCCAGCAGCCGCGGUAAUACGGGGGGUGCAAGCGUUACUCGGAAUCACUGGGCGUAAAGAGCAUGUAGGCGGAUUGAUAAGUUUGAAGUGAAAUCCUAUAGCUUAACUAUAGAACUGCUUUGAAAACUGUUAAUCUAGAAUGUGGGAGAGGUAGAUGGAAUUUCUGGUGUAGGGGUAAAAUCCGUAGAGAUCAGAAGGAAUACCGAUUGCGAAGGCGAUCUACUGGAACAUUAUUGACGCUGAGAUGCGAAAGCGUGGGGAGCAAACAGGAUUAGAUACCCUGGUAGUCCACGCCCUAAACGAUGUACACUAGUUGUUGUGAGACUUGAUCUUGCAGUAAUGCAGUUAACACAUUAAGUGUACCGCCUGGGGAGUACGGUCGCAAGAUUAAAACUCAAAGGAAUAGACGGGGACCCGCACAAGCGGUGGAGCAUGUGGUUUAAUUCGACGAUACACGAAGAACCUUACCUGGACUUGACAUAGUAAGAACUUUCUAGAGAUAGAUUGGUGUCUGCUUGCAGAAACUUAUAUACAGGUGCUGCACGGCUGUCGUCAGCUCGUGUCGUGAGAUGUUGGGUUAAGUCCCGCAACGAGCGCAACCCUCGUGUUUAGUUGCUAACAGUUCGGCUGAGAACUCUAAACAGACUGCCUACGCAAGUAGGAGGAAGGUGAGGACGACGUCAAGUCAUCAUGGCCCUUACGUCCAGGGCUACACACGUGCUACAAUGGG